UCCAGAGGGUGCAAGCGUUGCUCGGAAUUAUUGGGCGUAAAGGGUAGGUAGGUGGUCUCAUUUGUCUGAGGUGAAAUCCUUGGGCCUAACCCAAGAAGUGCCCCAGAAACGGUGAGACUGGAGUCCUGGAGAGGGUCGUGGAAUUCCCGGUGUAGCGGUGAAAUGCGUAGAGAUCGGGAGGAACACCAGAGGCGAAGGCGGCGACCUGGACAGGUACUGACACUCAACUACGAAAGCGUGGGGAGCAAACAGG
rnacentral:rRNA from 1 species